rnacentral:hammerhead_ribozyme from 1 species
AUACUGAUGAAGAGUCCCAAAAUAGAACGAAACAGUUGUCCAAUAC